rnacentral:rRNA from 1 species
AUUGAACGCUGGCGGCAGGCUUAACACAUGCAAGUCGAGCGGAGACUUCGGUCUUAGCGGCGAACGGGUGAGGAAUGCCUGGGAAUCUGCCUGGUAUGGGGGAUAACGUUCCGAAAGGAACGCUAAUACCGCAUACGUCCUACGGGAGAAAGCAGGGGGACCUUCGGGCCUUGCGCUAUCAGAUGAGCCCAGGUCGGAUUAGCUAGUAGGUGAGGUAAAGGCUCACCUAGGCGACGAUCCGUAGCUGGUCUGAGAGGAUGAUCAGCCACACUGGAACUGAGACACGGUCCAGACUCCAC